AUUGAACGCUGGCGGCAGGCUUAACACAUGCAAGUCGAGCGGAGAUGAGGUGCUUGCACCUUAUCUUAGCGGCGGACGGGUGAGUAAUGCUUAGGAAUCUGCCUAUUAGUGGGGGACAACAUUCCGAAAGGAAUGCUAAUACCGCAUACGUCCUACGGGAGAAAGCAGGGGAUCUUCGGACCUUGCGCUAAUAGAUGAGCCUAAGUCGGAUUAGCUAGUUGGUGGGGUAAAGGCCUACCAAGGCGACGAUCUGUAGCGGGUCUGAGAGGAUGAUCCGCCACACUGGGACUGAGACACGGCCCAGACUCCUACGGGAGGCAGCAGUGGGGAAUAUUGGACAAUGGGGGGAACCCUGAUCCAGCCAUGCCGCGUGUGUGAAGAAGGCCUUAUGGUUGUAAAGCACUUUAAGCGAGGAGGAGGCUCUUUUGGUUAAUACCCAAGAUGAGUGGACGUUACUCGCAGAAUAAGCACCGGCUAACUCUGCGCCAGCAGCCGCCGUAACAC
rnacentral:rRNA from 1 species